GACGAACGCUGGCGGCGUGCUUAACACAUGCAAGUCGAACGGAAAGGCCUCUUUCGGGGGGUACUCGAGUGGCGAACGGGUGAGUAACACGUGAGUAACCUGCCCUUGACUUUGGGAUAACUUCAGGAAACUGGGGCUAAUACCGGAUAGGAGCUCCUGCUGCAUGGUGGGGGUUGGAAAGUUUCGGCGGUUGGGGAUGGACUCGCGGGUUAUCGGCUUGUUGGUGGGGUAGUGGCUUACCAAGGCUUUGACGGGUAGCCGGCCUGUGAGGGUGAGCGGCCACAUUGGGACUGAGGUACGGCCCAGACUCCUACGGGAGGCAGCAGUGGGGAAGAUUGCACAAUGGGUGGAGGCCUGAUGCAGCAACGCCGUGUGCGGGAUGACGGCCUUCGGGUUGUAAACCGCUUUCGCUCAUGACGAAGCUUUGUGUGACGGUAGUGGGUAAAGAAGCACCGGCUAACUACGUG
rnacentral:rRNA from 1 species